AAUUCCCCACAAGUAUUACAAGCCUGGAGCCAGAGUUGUUAUGACUUUAUUUUUUAUUCAAAAGAUUGUACAGAAAUGCAUUUGCUUGUUUGCUUGUUGGUUGGUCAGCAGUAAAUGAUGUCAUUUUACGAGGUUUGAAGAAAGGUUUGUUUUCUAGCCCUAGAUCUUCCAAGAAGCUUCAAAGUUUGAAGGCACUGUAACAUCUUUAACAUGAAGAAGCAAAAUGUGGAUGAAUACCGCCGAUUUAUGGAUCAUUUGAAGCAAAGUCCUUUGCUCUCAGCAUCCUUUGGGCGUGUGGAGCAGACUGGCAGAAGCUCAGCCUGAGGCGCCGGGGCAAGCUGGCAUGAGAUGACCACGUAAUUGAGAUAGUUAUAACUUUCACAGAAGAGGAAGUGCAGAGACCGCUCCAUCUUCACCAAUGCUUCCUAAGGUAAACAUCAUGAAAUUGUUUCAUUUCUCG